UACGGAGGAUGCAAGCGUUAUCCGGAUUUAUUGGGUUUAAAGGGUGCGUAGGCUGUUUGUCAAGUCAGGGGUGAAAUACCCGGGCCCAACCCGGGAACUGCCUUUGAUACUGGCAGGCUGGAAUACGGAUGCCGUGGGAGGAAUGAGUAGUGUAGCGGUGAAAUGCAUAGAUAUUACUCAGAACACCGAUUGCGAAGGCAUCUCACGAAUCCGUCAUUGACGCUGAGGCACGAAAGCGUGGGGAU
rnacentral:rRNA from 1 species